GAUGCUGGUAGCUUUUAGUUUUUUUUUAACUUUUGAUCAUUUGUCUUAUUUAAAAAAAUAUAGAAUUAUUAUUUAUUUUGUUUGUGAGUUGCUUUAUUAUCAAAAGCACUUUAAGUAUAACUUAUCAUUUUUUAUACUUGCACAAAAUUUUCAAAUAAGACGAAUGGUCAAACGUUGUAAGAAAAAAGUCAAAGCGACCACUAUU
rnacentral:pre_miRNA from 1 species